rnacentral:rRNA from 1 species
UGACAGUCGAGCGGACCGACGGGAGCUUGCUCCCUUAGGUCAGCGGCGGACGGGUGAGUAACACGUGGGUAACCUGCCUGUAAGACUGGGAUAACUCCGGGAAACCGGGGCUAAUACCGGAUGCUUGAUUGAACCGCAUGGUUCAAUCAUGAAAGGCGGCUUCGGCUGCCGUUUACAGAUGGACCCGCGGCGCAUUAGCUAGUUGGUGAGGUAACGGCUCACCAAGGCGACGAUGCGUAGCCGACCUGAGAGGGUGAUCGGCCACACUGGGACUGAGACACGGCCCAGACUCCUACGGGAGGCAGCAGUAGGGAAUCUUCCGCAAUGGACGAAAGUCUGACGGAGCAACGCCGCGUGAGUGAUGAAGGUUUUCGGAUCGUAAAGCUCUGUUGUUAGGGAAGAACAAGUACCGUUCGAAUAGGGCGGUACCUUGACGGUACCUAACCAGAAAGCCACGGCUAACUACGUGCCAGCAGCCGCGGUAAUACGUAGGUGGCAAGCGUUGUCCGGAAUUAUUGGGCGUAAAGCGCGCGCAGGCGGUUUCUUAAGUCUGAUGUGAAAGCCCCCGGCUCAACCGGGGAGGGUCAUUGGAAACUGGGGAACUUGAGUGCAGAAGAGGAGAGUGGAAUUCCACGUGUAGCGGUGAAAUGCGUAGAGAUGUGGAGGAACACCAGUGGCGAAGGCGACUCUCUGGUCUGUAACUGACGCUGAGGCGCGAAAGCGUGGGG